AGGGAAAACAGCAGGACUUAUUGUUCCUUUACAGAGCUGCAGUGCUGAAUGCCCAGAGAGAGGAAAUAUAUUGAAAUUAGGAAAAGGCGGAUCUGAAAGAAAUACUUCUUUCUUCACUGUCUUCUCACAAAGCUUACAGCUUUUUGGGCCUUCAGCUAUAUUUCUUUCAAAGUCAACUUACAAGUUGGACAAAGGAUGUCAAGACAGUCCUGAAAGACAUUAGUGAGGUGGGCAACAUCGACCAUCGUGUUGCAUCUCUACUUGUCACAAUGGCCUACUUCAAAGAAAAAGAGGAUUCACUCUUUCUUCUGGCUGAUGUGACAACCACCUCAGCAGAUGCAGAAACCAGUCUCUUACUCCAAAGCACACCAAGGUUGCUGGCACUUGGUUCUUCCUCAGGAUUAACCCUGAAGGCUCAAAGUGCACCGGGAAGAAGGCAAAAAGAAAGAGAACUGGUCUGAAUCGCCGAGUGGCCACUUUAAUUGGGAAAAUUGUAGAGUUUGAAUGGGAAAAGUAUUAAGGGUGUGUCACAAGUUUGAAGUAUGUUUUGGCAUGCCCAGAGUUUGUUUAGCUUUCGUUUUAGGCCCAUUGGCCAACAGAGCAAUUUUAUAGAUUUAAGGUGGUUGUUUGUUACAAUGCAUCCUGAAAAAUACAUGUAAUUUAACUGUUGAUAGCUGUUGUGUAAUAUGUUUAAGGAAUUUUUGGGAGCACGGUGAGGUAUUUGAAGAUACCAAUAUCAUUGUUUACAACUGUGUACUGUAAUUUGACUUCAUAGUAAUUGGAAAACAACUCAGAUAACGGUAAUACAGUAUUGAUGUUUACAGUUAUACACUGUUUUGUAUUGCAGU